GACGAACGCUGGCGGCGUGCUUAACACAUGCAAGUCGAACGGAAAGGCCCUGCUUUUGUGGGGUGCUCGAGUGGCGAACGGGUGAGUAACACGUGAGUAACCUGCCCUUGACUUUGGGAUAACUUCAGGAAACUGGGGCUAAUACCGGAUAGGAGCUCCUGCUGCAUGGUGGGGGUGGGAAAGUUUCGGCGGUUGGGGAUGGCCUCGCGGCUUACCAGCUUGUUGGUGGGGUAGUGGCUUACCAAGGCUUUGAGGGGUAGCCGGCCUGAGAGGGUGACCGGCCACAUUGGGACUGAGAUACGGCCCAGACUCCUACGGGAGGCAGCAGUGGGGAAUAUUGCACAAUGGGCGGAAGCCUGAUGCAGCAACGCCGCGUGCGGGAUGACGGCCUUCGGGUUGUAAACCGCUUUCGCCUGUGACGAAGCGUGAGUGACGGUAAUGGGUAAAGAAGCACCGGCUAACUACGUG
rnacentral:rRNA from 1 species